rnacentral:lncRNA from 1 species
AUUUACAGGCUGCCACCGCAUAAUGCCUUCAGUCCGUCCUAAGCAUUCUCACGUAACAGUCGCCAAGAAAACGCGAAACUCUAAAGCGGUAACGGUAUAAAUUACAGCUAAUAAAUGUGUUUGCAUUAAAUUUGAAUUCAAAAAUAUGCCAAACAACUGAAAGUGCAAUGUAAGGCAACAAUUUAAUAGCGGAGUAAUGAAAUUACUUGAAAUAAAAAAAUAUUAUGACACUUCAAACGAAUCAGCUUAAAAUAGCAACAACAACCAGUAAGAAGCAAAUUGCAAUAACAACAACAAAAAGCGAAAUUACCACAAAUUUACGUGUGUGUAGUUUUACAUACGAAAAAAAGGUAUAACAACCAAGCGAAAGCAGAGUAAUUGUGUACAAACGCACAAACAAAACAAAAAAAAACCACAAAAACAGCAAGAGAAAUUUACUUAGCAACCAGCUCGACAGCAAAGCGUAUUGCUCAAUUGUUCGUCGGCGCCUUGAGCGCUGCGCUGGAGUACCAUUAAAGCGUCGACUACUCUACAUAAUUUGGCACUUUACAUUGCAUUACACGCUUGUGCGAGUAGCGUGAAUUAAAAAAAAAAAAACAACAACAAAUAGCGCCACAACAACAGUGCAGCAAGCCGACUGCUUGAUGCUAACAAACAAUAAUCUUAAACGCAGUAGUUGAAAAGCUUAAACUGAGCAAACGAAAA